GAGAGAUGAUGAGAGGAGAGGAUGGGAGGGAAGAGUAACAAAAGUGAAAAAACUUGCAAGAGUGAAAACAAUUUCAAAUAGAUUUCAGUUUUUAGUUUUUGGUUCCAGUUUUGUUACUCCUUCCUCCCUCCUCCCCUCUCAUCUUCCUUC
rnacentral:miRNA from 1 species